GGACAGCAUUUCUGGAAGGCACAGAGACACUACUGAUGUGCAUUUUCUGGUGGAGGGUGGUGUGAGGCAUGAAGCUUCCACUGAUUAUUUGGGGAACUUGGCUGGAACUUCAUUGGAAGUGUCUUCCUUCCCUCACCAGGAGCUGGAAGGGCAGCGUUUGGAGGCACAACAGCUGCUGGCACAACAGGCAAACUUCCUGGCAGAGGUAGAGAAGGAGCAGGAGAAAAGGCUGCUUGAGAUGAAGCAGGAAGUUGCCACCAUGCAAGCUGACCAAGAAGAGAAAAUACGGAGCCAUUGUCUCCUUGGAGCAACGCCAGCACUACAAGGAUGACUUCAAUGCAGAAUAUGAGGAAUAUCGGAAUUUAUAUUUAAAGAUUGACAAGACCAUCAAGAAGUUCAGACAUUUUCAGGAACAAUGGAAGUCUCUGACUCCAGGCUCCAAAGCCCAUCAGAUGCCGCAUCAUUGAGUCCCAGCAGAUUAUCAGCAGUUACAACAGGGUAGCCCCAGCUACUCUGAAAUAAGGAGCAGGUGCCAGUACCUCCACAAGAAGUUGGCCCAUAUUCAGAGCUGCAUUUCUGAAUUUGAGAAGCAGUGAGUGGAGUACUGGCACCAGACAUCUGCUUCAACAGAGGAACAUCUUUGAACUCAGGAUUUUUCACUUC